ACGUAGGGGGCAAGCGUUGUCCGGAAUUAUUGGGCGUAAAGCGCGCGCAGGCGGCUUCUUAAGUCUGAUGUGAAAGCCCACGGCUCAACCGUGGAGGGUCAUUGGAAACUGGGGAGCUUGAGUGCAGAAGAGGAGAGUGGAAUUCCACGUGUAGCGGUGAAAUGCGUAGAUAUGUGGAGGAACACCAGUGGCGAAAGCGGCUCUCUGGUCUGUAACUGACGCUGAGGCGCGAAAGCGUGGGGAGCAAACAGGA
rnacentral:rRNA from 1 species